rnacentral:rRNA from 1 species
UACGUAGGGUGCGAGCGUUAAUCGGAAUUACUGGGCGUAAAGCGUGCGCAGGCGGUUUUGUAAGUCAGAUGUGAAAGCCCCGGGCUCAACCUGGGAACUGCGUUUGAAACUACAAGGCUAGAGUAUGGCAGAGGGGGGGUAGAAUUCCACGUGUAGCAGUGAAAUGCGUAGAGAUGUGGAGGAAUACCGAUGGCGAAGGCAGCCCCCUGGGCCUGCACUGACGCUCAUGCACGAAAGCGUGGGGAGCAAACAGG